rnacentral:rRNA from 1 species
AUUGAACGCUGGCGGCAUGCCUUACACAUGCAAGUCGAACGGCAGCACGGGAGCAAUCCUGGUGGCGAGUGGCGAACGGGUGAGUAAUAUAUCGGAACGUGCCCAGUCGUGGGGGAUAACGGAGCGAAAGCUACGCUAAUACCGCAUACGAUCUAUGGAUGAGAGCGGGGGAUCGCAAGACCUCGCGCGAUUGGAGCGGCCGAUAUCAGAUUAGGUUGUUGGUGGGGUAAAAGCCUACCAAGCCUGCGAUCUGUAGCUGGUCUGAGAGGACGACCAGCCACACUGGAACUGAGACACGGUCCAGACUCCUACGGGAGGCAGCAGUGGGGAAUUUUGGACAAUGGGCGCAAGCCUGAUCCAGCAAUGCCGCGUGCAGGAUGAAGGCCUUCGGGUUGUAAACUGCUUUUGUACGGAACGAAACGGUUCUCUCUAAUACAGAGAGCUAAUGACGGUACCGUAAGAAUAAGCACCGGCUAACUACGUG